GAUGAACGCUGGCGGCGUGCCUAAUACAUGCAAGUCGAGCGAACGGACGAGAAGCUUGCUUCUCUGAUGUUAGCGGCGGACGGGUGAGUAACACGUGGCUAACCUACCUAUAAGACUGGGAUAAAUUCGGGAAACCUGAGCCAAUACCGGAUAAUAUUUUGAACCGCAUGGUUCAAAAGUGAAAGACGGUCUUGCUGUCACUUAUAGAUGGAUCCGCGCUGCAUUAGCUAGUUGGUAAGGUAACGGCUUACCAAGGCAACGAUGCAUAGCCGAUCUGAGAGGGUGAUCGGCCACACUGGAACUGAGACACGGUCCAGACUCCUACGGGAGGCAGCAGUAGGGAAUCUUCCGCAAUGGGCGAAAGCCUGACGGAGCAACGCCGCGUGAGUGAUGAAGGCCUUCGGAUCGUAAAACUCUGUUAGUAGGGAAGAACAUAUGUGUAAGUAACUGUGGACAUCUUGACGGUACCUAAUCAAAAAGCCACGGCUAACUACGUG
rnacentral:rRNA from 1 species